GACGAACGCUGGCGGCGUGCUUAACACAUGCAAGUCGAACGGAAAGGCCCUGCUUUUGUGGGGUGCUCGAGUGGCGAACGGGUGAGUAACACGUGAGCAACCUGCCCUUGACUUUGGGAUAACUUCAGGAAACUGGGGCUAAUACCGGAUAGGAGCUCCUGCUGCAUGGUGGGGGUUGGAAAGUUUCGGCGGUUGGGGAUGGACUCGCGGCUUAUCAGCUUGUUGGUGGGGUAGUGGCUUACCAAGGCUUUGACGGGUAGCCGGCCUGAGAGGGUGACCGGCCACAUUGGGACUGAGAUACGGCCCAGACUCCUACGGGAGGCAGCAGUGGGGAAUAUUGGACAAUGGGCGAAAGCCUGAUCCAGCAAUGCCGCGUGAGUGAUGAAGGCCUUAGGGUUGUAAAGCUCUUUUACCCGGGAUGAUAAUGACAGUACCGGGAGAAUAAGCUCCGGCUAACUCCGUG
rnacentral:rRNA from 1 species